rnacentral:rRNA from 1 species
GAUGAACGCUGGCGGCGUGCCUAAUACAUGCAAGUCGAGCGAAUGGAUUAAGAGCUUGCUCUUAUGAAGUUAGCGGCGGACGGGUGAGUAACACGUGGGUAACCUGCUCAUAAGACUGGGAUAACUCCGGGAAACCGGGGCUAAUACCGGAUAAUAUUUUGAACUGCAUGGUUCAAAAUUGAAAGGCGGCUUCGGCUGUCACUUAUGGAUGGACCCGCGUCGCAUUAGCUAGUUGGUGAGGUAACGGCUCACCAAGGCAACGAUGCGUAGCCGACCUGGGAGGGUGAUCGGCCACACUGGGACUGAGACCAGGCCCAGAGUCCUACGGGAGGCAGCAGUAGGGAAUCUUCCGAAAUGGACGAAAGUCUGACGGAGCAACGCCGCGUGAGUGAUGAAGGCUUUCGGGUCGUAAAACUCUGUUGUUAGGGAAGAACAAGUGCUAGUUGAAUAAGCUGGCACCUUGACGGUACCUAACCAGAAAGCCACGGCUAACUACGUGCCAGCCGCCGCCGUAA